GGGCCUGUAGUUCAGCUGGUCAGAACGCUUCAUUUGCAAUGAAGAGGUCAAGGGUUCGACUCCCUUCAGGUCCA
rnacentral:tRNA from 1 species